GAUGAGUGGGGUACAAAUAACAACAACAACAACAACAACAACAACAACAACAACAACAACAUCCCUAUUUUCAUCAGAGAAAUGCUGGAAGGUAUGCAUUCAGGAGGUCCAAGUUUAAAUCACUGGCAUCUCCUGGUAGGGCUGGCAGAGACCCCAGUGCUGCCUGUCAGUAGGGAAGUUUUUAAUGUUUGAUGUUUUAUGGUGUUGUUACUAUUCUGGGGAGCUGUCCAGAAUGUCUGGGGAAACCCAGUGAGAUGGGUGGAGUAU